CUUCAAAGUGCGCGCACGCACAGCGAGGGCCGCGUUAGUGAGAAAAGCACAUGGAUACAUUUGUGAGAGAAAAACUCGUCAAAUGCAGUCUUAUUGAAGCGUCUAAAGGUCUGAACAAACCUGGAAUUCCUUAACCGAACAGAGUCCACAAAACCCCAUCCAAUUGUUGUGGCGAUUUAAAAAUGCCAGCAGAUCUCUUAGGCAUUAUCAUAAUCAAUGGACAGGUCACCGUAGCCACGAGAUCCAGUCUGUGUCCAGAUCAGAGGGUCAC